rnacentral:rRNA from 1 species
GAUGAACGCUGGCGGCGUGCCUAAUACAUGCAAGUCGAGCGAACGGACGAGAGGCUUGCUUCUCUGAUGUUAGCGGCGGACGGGUGAGUAACACGUGGAUAACCUACCUAUAAGACUGGGAUAACUUCGGGAAACCGGAGCUAAUACCGGAUAAUAUUUUGAACCGCAUGGUUCAAAAGUGAAAGACGGUCUUGCUGUCACUUAUAGAUGGAUCCGCGCUGCAUUAGCUAGUUGGUAAGGUAACGGCUUACCAAGGCAACGAUGCAUAGCCGACCUGAGGGUGAUCGGCCACACUGGAACUGAGACACGGUCCAGACUCCUACGGGAGGCAGCAGUAGGGAAUCUUCCGCAAUGGGCGAAAGCCUGACGGAGCAACGCCGCGUGAGUGAUGAAGGUCUUCGGAUCGUAAAACUCUGUUAUUAGGGAAGAACAUAUGUGUAAGUAACUGUGCACAUCUUGACGGUACCUAAUCAGAAAGCCACGGCUAACUACGUG